UACGUAGGGUGCAAGCGUUGUCCGGAAUUAUUGGGCGUAAAGAGCUCGUAGGCGGCUUGUCACGUCGGCUGUGAAAACCUGGGGCUCAACCCCGGGCCUGCAGCCGAUACGGGCAAGCUAGAAUUCGGUAGGGGAGACUGGAAUUCCUGGUGUAGCGGUGAAAUGCGCAGAUAUCAGGAGGAACACCGGUGGCGAGGGCGGGUCUCUGGGCCGAUAUUGACGCUGAGGAGCGAAAGCGUGGGGAGCGAACAGG
rnacentral:rRNA from 1 species